rnacentral:rRNA from 1 species
GAUGAACGCUAGCGGCAGGCCUAACACAUGCAAGUCGAACGGUAACAUAGAGAAGCUUGCUUUUCUGAUGACGAGUGGCGCACGGGUGCGUAACGCGUAUACAAUCUACCUUUUACGGGGGAUAGCCUUUAGAAAUGAAGAUUAAUACCCCAUAGUAAGUAAUGAUGGCAUCAUCGAUACUUUAAAGAUUCAUCGGUAAAAGAUGAGUAUGCGUUCUAUUAGCUAGAUGGUGUGGUAACGGCACACCAUGGCAACGAUAGAUAGGGGCCCUGAGAGGGGGAUCCCCCACACUGGUACUGAGACACGGACCAGACUCCUACGGGAGGCAGCAGUGAGGAAUAUUGGACAAUGGGCGGAAGCCUGAUCCAGCCAUGCCGCGUGCAGGAAGACUGCCCUAUGGGUUGUAAACUGCUUUUAUACAGGAAGAAACCACUCUACGUGUAGAGUUCUGACGGUACUGUAAGAAUAAGGAUCGGCUAACUCCGUGCCAGCCGCCGC